UACGGAGGAUGCAAGCGUUAUCCGGAAUUAUUGGGCGUAAAGCGUCCGCAGGUGGUUAUCCAAGUCUGCUGUUAAAGCGCGAGGCUUAACUUCGUACAGGCAGUGGAAACUGGGUGACUGGAGUAUGGUAGGGGUAGCGGGAAUUCCCAGUGUAGCGGUGAAAUGCGUAGAUAUUGGGAAGAACACCAGCGGCGAAAGCGCGCUACUGGGCCAUUACUGACACUCAUGGACGAAAGCUAGGGGAGCAAAAGGG
rnacentral:rRNA from 1 species